rnacentral:lncRNA from 1 species
GCCCAUGCAAGCCCGAGCAGACUCGCGUAAGUAUUUGGAUUUCGGAUCAGCUUCUUCCACAUCAUUCUCACGAUGAGUUUUGUCAUGACUGUAGGUGGUGGCAUUUGAGUCGGAGCUGACGAGUCGCUGUCAACCAGUUUCGGUGGCGUGAAGGGAACCUUGCAAGGCAAAUGUGAUUCGCUCUUCAGAUUCUUCUCUGACAGCGGGGUGGUGUCUUCUCUUUGGAACAGAACGUUAUCAACGAAGCUGAAGUCUUUGGCCAUGCAUGGAUGUAAUGGUGUGGAGUUCGACGGUACUACACUCGUAAGUAAGGAUGUAAGUUUUCCUUGAAACAGAAAUAGAAACGUACUUACUUUGAAUUGACAGGUUCUUGUGGCUUGUCAAUUUCCUGGUCUCGUAACAGCCUCUAUCAGACGCAGGAGAGUUGCUCGAGCUCCACACCAGCAUUUGCAUCUCUCGA